GCCCAGAUCAAUAAGUAGCCAAAUGCAUCGAGGUCCUGGGUUGCAGUCUAUAACAAUACUAUUUUAACUUAAAAACUCAUUCGUUUAUAUUUCGCCUUUACUCCAAUAUACCUUUACCUUUACUCCAAUAUA